rnacentral:rRNA from 1 species
GACGAACGCUGGCGGCGUGCUUAACACAUGCAAGUCGAACGGAAAGGCCUGCUUUCCCUUGUGGAUUGCGGGUACUCGAGUGGCGAACGGGUGAGUAACACGUGAGUGAUCUGCCCCCAACUUGGGUAUAAGCCUGGGAAACUGGGUCUAAUUCCCGAUAGGACUGCAGGGUGGUGCCUGUGGUGGAAAACGAUUUUCUAGUGGUUGGGGAUGAGCUCGCGGCCUAUCAGCUUGUUGGUGGGGUAAUGGCCUACCAAGGCGGCGACGGGUAGCCGGCCUGAGAGGGUGGACGGCCACAUUGGGACUGAGAUACGGCCCAGACGCCUACGGGAGGCAGCAGUGGGGAAUAUUGCACGAUGGGCGGAAGCCUGAUGCAGCGACGCCGCGUGGGGGAUGACGGCCUUCGGGUUGUAAACUCCUUUCGACCGCGAGGAAGCCACCUGGUUGGAAGGGUGGUGACGGUAGUGGUAGAAGAAGCACCGGCUAACUACGUG